rnacentral:rRNA from 1 species
GUUAUAGGGUCAAGCGAACAAGUGCAUGUGGUGGAUGCCUUGGCGAUCACAGGCGAUGAAGGACGCGGUAGCCUGCGAAAAGCUACGGGGAGCUGGCAAACGAGCUUUGAUCCGUAGAUGUCCGAAUGGGGAAACCC